CCUACGGGAGACAGCAGUGAGGAAUAUUGGUCAAUGGACGAGAGUCUGAACCAGCCAAGUAGCGUGAAGGAUGACUGCCCUAUGGGUUGUAAACUUCUUUUAUAUGGGAAUAAAAUGUUCCACGUGUGGGAUUUUGUAUGUACCAUAUGAAUAAGGAUCGACUAACUCCGUGCCAGCAGCCGCGGUAAUACGGAGGAUCCGAGCGUUAUCCGGAUUUAUUGGGUUUAAAGGGAGCGUAGGUGGAUUGUUAAGUCAGUUGUGAAAGUUUGCGGCUCAACCGUAAAAUUGCAGUUGAAACUGGCAGUCUUGAGUACAGUAGAGGUGGGCGGAAUGCGUGGUGUAGCGGUGAAAUGCUUAGAUAUCACGAAGAACUCCGAUUGCGAAGGCAGUUCACUGGACUGCAACUGACACUGAGGCUCGAAAGUGUGGGUAUCAAACAGGAUUAGAUACCCGUGUAGUC
rnacentral:rRNA from 1 species